CGGCUCACCAAGGCGACGAUGUCUAGGGGUUCUGAGAGGAUUCACCCCCACACUGGUACUGAGACACGGACCAGACUCCUACGGGAGGCAGCAGUAAGGAAUAUUGGUCAAUGGACGCAAGUCUGAACCAGCCAUGCCGCGUGAAGGAUGACGGCCCUACGGGUUGUAAACUUCUUUUGUACGGGAAAAAAUCCCUGGUCGUGAACCGGGGUUGAUGGUACCGUAAGAAUAAGCAUCGGCUAACUCCGUGCCAGCAGCCGCGGUAAUACGGAGGAUGCAAGCGUUAUCCGGAUUCAUUGGGUUUAAAGGGUGCGCAGGCGGAAUGAUAAGUCAGUGGUGAAAUCCUACAGCUUAACUGUAGAACUGCCAUUGAUACUAUUGUUCUUGAGUACAUUUGAAGUGGGCGGAAUGUGUCAUGUAGCGGUGAAAUACUUAGAUAUGACACAGAACACCGAUCGCGAAGGCAGCUCACUAAGUUGUAACUGACGCUCAUGCACGAAAGCGUGGGGAUCAAACAGGAUUAGAUACCCUGGUAGUCCACGCCGUAAACGAUGAUUACUCGAUGUUGGCGAUACACAGUCAGCGUCUAAGCGAAAGCAUUAAGUAAUCCACCUGGGGAGUACGGCCGCAAGGUUGAAACUCAAAGGAAUUGACGGGGGCCCGCACAAGCGGAGGAGCAUGUGGUUUAAUUCGAUGAUACGCGAGGAACCUUACCUGGGCUAGAACGCAAGAUGACAGUUCGAGAAAUCGGAUCUUCCUUCGGGACAUUUUGCGAGGUGCUGCAUGGUUGUCGUCAGCUCGUGCCGUGAGGUGUCGGGUUAAGUCCCAUAACGAGCGCAACCCCUAUCAUUAGUUGCCAUCAGGUCAUGCUGGGGACUCUAGUGAAACUGCCUACGCAAGUAGUGAGGAAGGCGGGGAUGACGUCAAAUCAGCACGGCCCUUACGUCCAGGGCUACACACGUGCUACAAUGGCCGAUACAGAGGGUCGCUACCUGGUGACAGGAUGCCAAUCUCCAAAAUCGGUCUCAGUUCGGAUCGAAGUCUGCAACUCGACUUCGUGAAGUUGGAUUCGCUAGUAAUCGUAUAUCAGCAAUGAUACGGUGAAUACGUUCCCGGGCCUUGUACACACAGCCCGUCAAGCCAUGGGAGCUGGGGGUACCUAAAGUGCGUGACCGCAAGGAGCGCCCUAGGGUAAAACCAGUGACUG
rnacentral:rRNA from 1 species